UACAGAGGUCCCAAGCGUUGUUCGGAUUCACUGGGCGUAAAGGGUGCGUAGGUGGCGAGGUAAGUCGGAUGUGAAAGCUCGGAGCUCAACUCCGAAAUGGCAUUGGAAACUACCUUGCUCAGGUAGGGUUGGGAGGGGGACGAUGGAAUUCUCGGUGUAGCAGAUGAAUGCGUAGAUAUCGAGAGGAACACCAGUGGCGAAGGCGAGUCCCUGGACAACUCCUGACACUGAGGCACGAAAGCUAGGGGAGCAAACAGG
rnacentral:rRNA from 1 species